UACGUAGGGGGCAAGCGUUGUCCGGAUUUAUUGGGCGUAAAGAGCUCGUAGGCGGUUUGGUAAGUCGGGUGUGAAAUCUCCACGCUCAACGUGGAGGGGCCACUCGAUACUGCCAUGACUCGAGUCCGGUAGAGGAGUGUGGAAUUCCCGGUGUAGCGGUGAAAUGCGCAGAUAUUCGCAAGAACACCAGUGGCGAAGGCGGCUCACUGGCCCGAUACUGACGCUGAGGCACGAAAGCGUGGGGAGCAAACAGG
rnacentral:rRNA from 1 species